rnacentral:lncRNA from 1 species
GUGAAAAUCCGUGUUGGAGCUGACGGACCUGCACCUCAGGAACCCAUCCCUGAUGAAGAGGCUGCCCCUCUUCCUCUACCUCUGCCACUGCUUGGUGGUCGGGCUGAAGCUGCUGACUGUACGACACUACCUGACAUCAUCUGCUGGGAUGGUGCAACCAAAGUCGCCUGAGGACAUUCCCGUGCAUAAUGGCCCUCCUGCCCACAUCUAUAGCAGGCUGUAGAUCCCAACAAACAAGCUCCUCUGUGCGGUCUCCCACACCUAUUGCAAACUGGAAGAUCUGUGCUAGAGCUGGAGCCGCUACUCAUGCCCAGACCCGUCUUAAUCCUGUUCCAGAACUUGCCUCUUUUUCCUCUG